rnacentral:rRNA from 1 species
CCUACGGGUGGCAGCAGUGAGGAAUAUUGGUCAAUGGGCUUACGCCUGAACCAGCCAAGUCGCGUGAGGGAAGACUGCCCUAUGGGUUGUAAACCUCUUUUGUCAGGGAGCAACGCCGGCUACGUGUAGCCGGACUGAGAGUACCUGAAGAAAAAGCAUCGGCUAACUCCGUGCCAGCAGCCGCGGUAAUACGUAGGGGGCGAGCGUUAUCCGGAUUCACUGGGUGUAAAGGGAGCGUAGACGGCCAAGCAAGCCAGGGGUGAAAGCCCGGGGCCCAACCCCGGGACUGCCCUUGGAACUGCAUGGCUGGAGUGCGGGAGGGGCAGGCGGAAUUCCUGGUGUAGCGGUGAAAUGCGUAGAUAUCAGGAGGAACACCGGCGGCGAAGGCGGCCUGCUGGACCGCGACUGACGUUGAGGCUCGAAAGCGUGGGGAGCGAACAGGAUUAGAUACCCCAGUAGUC